UACGUAGGGUGCAAGCGUUGUCCGGAAUUAUUUGGGCGUAAAGAGCUCGUAGGCGGUUUGUCGCGUCUGCUGUGAAAACCCGAGGCUCAACCUCGGGCCUGCAGUGGGUACGGGGCAGACUAGAGUGCGGUAGGGGAGAUUGGAAUUCCUGGUGUAGCGGUGGAAUGCGCAGAUAUCAGGAGGAACACCAAUGGCGAAGGCAGAUCUCUGGGCCGUAACUGACGCUGAGGAGCGAAAGCAUGGGGGAGCGAACAGG
rnacentral:rRNA from 1 species